UACAGAGGUCUCAAGCGUUGUUCGGAUUCAUUGGGCGUAAAGGGUGCGUAGGCGGCGCGGUAAGUCGGGUGUGAAAUCUCGGAGCUUAACUCCGAAACUGCAUUCGAUACUGCCGUGCUUGAGGACUGGAGAGGAGACUGGAAUUCAUGGUGUAGCAGUGAAAUGCGUAGAGAUCAUGAGGAAGACCAGUGGCGAAGGCGGGUCUCUGGGCAGUAACUGACGCUGAGGAACGAAAGCGUGGGUAGCAAACAGG
rnacentral:rRNA from 1 species